AAAACAUUUAGUAUAUUCAAGUCAAUUUUUAAUUUUUGCUACAAGUGGAAAAAGGCCAUUCUGUAUUCAGGAGAAAACGUUCUGAUUUCCAAGAAUAUGGUUUAACAACCCAGGGAUUAGGGGCUAUAUAGCAUGAUGGUUGAAAUAGGCCCUUUGGAGUGGGACUGGACCCAGGUCCCACUAAUGCUUGGUUUCCCAGUCUGUAAAAUGGAGAUACUACCCACCUCAUACCGGUUUUUUGUUUUUAUAGGGUCUCAAAUAUUUCAAAAGGAGACAAUGUAUUUAUAAAUGUUUAGCACACUAUCUGAUACAUCCUUGAGUGAGUGGGUACUUUUUAUCUUUAUCCCCAUUUGUUCCUAGAGUCAAUAAGGGUAGUGAAGUGGAUUAAAAGAUGGCCACAAAUUAUUUGACAUCCCUCCCGUCAAGAAAUGAGGUUUAUGUCUACUCUCCUUAAAUUUGGGUGGCUCUGUGUCUGCUUGAUCAGUGGAACACAGUGGAAGGGAUAUUGUGCCAGUUUCCAGUACCAGGCCUUUAAGUGACUGCCAGCUUACAUUUCAGUGUCUCUUGAAACACUUGCUCUUGGACCCAGCACCAUGGUGUGAGAAAACCCAAGAAUCCCCUGAAUCCUAUACAUGGAGAGGAACUGAAACCCCCCAAACCCCGGCCCCAGUUCUCCAGCCAGUGUCCACAACUGAGAGCCAAGAGCCACCACUAAUUUGCCAGCCAUGUGAGUAAACUUGGAGGAAGCUCCUCUAGUCCAUUCCAGCUGCCCCAGCCGACACCAACUGGAAUAGAGACUAGCUGGCCCUGCCCAAAUUACAGAUUAGUGAGCAAAAUGGUUGUUUCAAGCCACUAAAUUUUCAGGUGGUUUGUAACAGCAAUAGAUAACCAGAACAGAUUAAAUCAAGGUGUGUUCCUCCUCCACUCCAUCAAUGACUUAGGAAGGGUAGGCAAAUUCAUUUUGUCCAGAAAUGUGUGGUAUAUAGAGAAAGUAGGUCAUGAAGAAACUCUGAGUUUGCUGUGAGCUGUGUGACCAGGGCUUGACUAAACAACUCAGUCCAGUAAUUCAGCAAACCUUUUAAAAUGCCUAUCUUCCACUUGGUGCUAAACAGAGUAACUCAUAAUUGAUGCCACCUGACCGGGUGUGGUGGCUCACACCUGUAAUCCCAACACUUUGGGAGGCCGAGGCGGGCAGACCACCAGAGGUCAGGAGUUCGAGACCACGCUGGCCAACAUGGUGAAGCCCUGUCUCUACUAAAAAUACAAAAAUUAGCCGGGUGUGGUGGCACGCACAUGUAAUCCCAGCUACUUAGGAGGCUGAGGCAGGAGAAUCCCUUAAAUCCGGGAGGCAGAGGUUGCAGUGAGCCGAGAUUGCGCCACUGCACUCCAGCCUGGGCGACAGAGCAAGACUCCGUCUCAAAAAAUAAAUAGGCCGGGCGCAGUGGCUCACACCUGUAAUCCCAGCACUUUGGGAGGCCAAGGCGGGCGGAUCACCUGAGGUCGGGAGUUCAAGACCAGCCUGACCAACAUAGAGAAACCCCGUCUCUACUAAAACAAAAAAAUUAGGCAUGGUGGCGCAUGACUGUAAUCCCAGCUACGUGGGAGGCUGAGGCAGGAGAAUCGCUUGAACCCGGUAGGCAGAGGUUGCGUUGAGCCGAGAUCGCACCAUUGCACUCUAGCCCAGGCAACAAGAGCAAAACUCCAUCUCAAUAAAUAAAUAAAUAAAUUAGUUAGUAAUAAUUGAUGUCACCUUGGUCACAGCUGUCACACCCGACUGUGUCUUUGUAACCAUCUUUGUUCCAGAUCCCACGGAUAUCUAUUUUACGUCCAUUCAAAGAUGUCUGCUAGGCCGGGCGUGGUGGCCCACACCUGUAAUCCUAGCCCUUUUGGAGGCCAAGGUAGGUGGUUCACCUGAGGUCAGGAGUUCGAGACCAGCCUGGCCAACAUGGUGAAACUCUGUCUCUACUAAAAAUACAAAAAUAGCCGGGCAUGGUGGCGGGUACUUGCAAUCCCAGCUACUCGGGAGGCCGAGGCACGAGAAUCGCUUGAACCUGGGAGGCGGAGGUUGUAGCCAGCCGAGAUCGUGCCACUGCACUCCAGCCUGGGCGACAGAGCAAGACUCCGUCUCAAAAAAAUAAAAAAUGUCUGCUAACCCAUUCUGACUGGCCACCUGACCCUCAGUUCAUACCUUAAACCCCUCUAGUUCCUCUAGUCAUAUACCACACUUUGGCCAAAAGGUAUCAUGCAACUAAAGAGACACAAUGCUUAGUUGUCCAAUCAAGAGAAAUCAGCUCAAACGAAUCCUUUUUCAAAGUUUGGCAGUUUUGAAGAGGCCUUUUCCUGAAAGGUAUCUGAUUCCUGAUUGCGUGGCUCAAAAUAGUUCUUCAAUUCUCAUCUUGUAUAAUUAGUCAAGAAACCAAUUACUGCCAAGUAAUCUUUAUGAUGCGAAGAUUAUAAUGUAAAUUACAAGACAUCUACCUCUUGCGAUAGGGCUUUCCUUCCACGAGGGGUAAGAACUGUCUUGAAAUCAGACGUCAGCAUCACCUGGUUCAAGGGAUAAGGGACUGGCUCUCCAGCGACUUGGCAACUUACAAGCGCUCUUCAAACACGCCUUAAACUACUUAUUUAAUCUUCCACAGUCAGGGAGGCGCAAUUUAUUCUCGAGUUGCGAGUGAGAAAAUUCAGGCUCGUGGCUUCGAUUCCUUCAUCCGUAAAAUGAGGCGACGUGAGACCGAGUUGCCACACAACGCGUGCUCGCCGAGGCCCCGCAUCCCUCCGCACUCCCUUCCGGGACUUCCUCUCCCUGUCUUGCCCGGCCCCGGCAUCUGUAAGGCGCGCCUGUGACUGGCUGCCGGCCGGCCGCGAGGCGGUGGAAGGGGUUGCGGUGGCCAUGGUGACGGGAGGCGGGGCGCCGCGCCCCUCCGGCAGUCACCGAGGCCUGGACCUGCGGCGUUGGCGGCGCGCGCAGAGGACCAGGCGGGGCGUAGAGGCUGGGCCGACGCGUGGCGGCAGCGGGUAUCCAAGGCCGGACCUGGCGCGCAGGCGCUGACCCGACCUAGCAGUGAGCGGGCCGCGGCCUUGGCUGAGAGGCCUUAACCCCGCCGGCCGCCGCGCCCUGCAUGCGAGUUGGGCCGCGGGCGGGGUUGGAGCCUACUCGGGGCGACGGCGAUGGACGCCUUAGAAGAAGAGAGCUUUGCGCUGUCUUUCUCCUCCACCUCUGAUGCAGAAUUUGAUGCUGUGGUUGGAUAUUUAGAGGACAUUAUCAUGGAUGACGAGUUCCAGUUAUUACAGAGAAAUUUCAUGGACAAGUACUACCUGGAGUUUGAAGACACAGAAGAGAAUAAACUCAUCUACACACCUAUUUUUAAUGAAUAUAUUUCUUUGGUAGAAAAAUAUAUUGAAGAACAGCUGCUGCAGCGGAUUCCUGGGUUCAACAUGGCAGCUUUCACCACAACAUUGCAGCACCAUAAGGAUGAAGUGGCUGGUGACAUAUUCGACAUGCUGCUCACCUUCACAGAUUUUCUGGCUUUUAAAGAAAUGUUUUUGGACUACAGAGCAGUAAGUUACUACUCCUGUUUAUUUAGCCACUUUGAGCUACUUAGAAAAUUCCAGGGAGAAAUACCGAACAUGAACCUCCCGCGCUUCCCCCAUCAUUCUCCCUUCAAACUGGCCAAUGAGGCAUCAGAAGAGUGAGCUGCUAUUCUAUUGUGGCUGGGACCUUCUCAUGUUUUCAUGAAACAAGCCCCAGGUACCAUCUUAGAGUUCCUAAUCAGAAGGACAAAACCCAAAAAGCAGGUCUCAGGUCUCAUUCUGCCUUGCCUUUCUUUUAUUUAUUUAUUUUUUUUUUGAGACAGAGUUUUGCUCUUGUCACCCAGGCUGGAGUACAGUGGCACGAUCUUGGCUCACUGGAACCUCUGCCUUCCAGGAGAAUCACUUGAGCCUAGGAGUUUGGGGCUGUAUUCACAGCAGUGGUGCCUGUGAGUAGCCACUGCACUCCAGCCUGGGCAACAUAGCAAGACCCCUAUCUCAAAAAAAAAAAAAAAAAAAAAGAAAGAAAAAUGUUUUCCAGUGACGGGAGGUACCUUUUAAGAGUGCAUUUUAAGAAUGACCAGGGCCAGGCUGGACACAGUGGCUCAUACUUACAAUUCCAGCACUUUGGGAGGCCAAGGCAGGAGAAUCACUCGAGCCCAGGAGUUCAAGACCAGCCUAAGUGACAUACCAAGACCCUGUCUCUACAAAAAUAAAAAUAAAAAAGUUAGCCAGCUGUAGUGGUACACACCUGUAGUCCUAGCUACUCAGGAGGCUGAGGCAGGAGGACUACUUGAGCCCAGGAAUUCCAGGCAGCAGUUAGCUAUGAUCAAGCCACUGUACUCCAGCCUGGGUGAUAGAGCAAGACCCUACCUCUUUAAAAAUAAUAUUUAAAAAAAUUAAGACUAGGGCAAGCCAGUAUUGAGCAGAAAUGCAGAAUAACCAAUAACCUGUGUUCCCUUCCUAUGUACUGUGGAGGUCCACGUUCCCAACUUCAGCUCUGCCUACCCCAUAUCAGAGGCAAGAUUCCAAGCCAGGACUCUUUCUAGUCCUUCCUUUUGGUUGUUUUCUCAUAUAGGAAAAAGAAGGCCGAGGACUGGACUUAAGCAGUGGCUUAGUGGUGACUUCGUUGUGCAAAUCAUCUUCUCUGCCAGCUUCCCAGAACAAUCUGCGGCACUAGGUCCUACCUCCAGCCAAUGAAUGGGAUCAUUCUGGAUGUCACCAGCCCAGUAGGCUCAGCUCAUGAUGACAGAACACAUCUUGGAAAGACUGACUCUGUUAUGUAACUCUUCAUUUAUGUUAAGUAUUGAUAGGUCAAAACCAAAAUGACCUAACCCUCCUGGACCUAUUUAUCCUGAAACAACACCUUGUAUUCAUUAACCAUAGUACUCCUCCGCACCUCAAGUAGACACCUCUCUCAGGAGCUUCUGAGUCAGACGCCUCUGGAGCGAGCCCUAUGUCAGGCACUCCACCUGGGGGGCCCUUCCCCAGCAUACCUGCUGGUGUGUAAGUGUGGACUAACCUGCCGCCACCACCCUCUGUUCCAGCAGGUCCUGCAUGAAUCUUUGUGCACUUGCACCUCUUUUUCACAUGGGCCACAGUUUCAGUACUUCAGCCUCAGUGGGGUUCCUGAUGUUUAUCUAGGGUGUUACUCAAGCCCAGUUUGAGAUUUUGGAAUCUCCUGUGGUCACAUCUUGUCUCGGCUGUAGGAAUCAACAGAAGGAGACGUCCUCUACAUAAAAGCUCCAUGUGAAAAGCUACUGUUAGUCUUAACAUUUGCAGUCCUUGUGUCACUGUCUUCUGGUCCUGAUGUAGUCCCACUGUUUCUAGAAGUCUCUUUUAAGCAUUAUUUUUGAAAAAAAUAUAGUUUUAUAGAUGAAUACUCAGGCUAACCUAGUGGAUGUGAUCUUGGAACUUCCGUGAUUAUCCACUUAAAGAUCAAAGUAUUAUAUGCUGUGUGCUUUUUCGGUGUUAGUACUGUGAAGGCAAAAAUGCUUUCUACAUUGGCAUUCAUUCCUAUUUUACUGGGCACCUAUGAAUGUAUGCUGUGUGCUUGAAAUAGACUAAAACAUAUUCCUAUAGCAUGUUAGUGUGUUUGCAUGUUUGCUGAAAAUCCUUUGUGUAUAAACCAGUUUGUAAGGUUCUCUGGGUUAGGUAGGGACUCUGCAGUUUCUUCCUGUCAAAAUCUCUUCUACCAAGAUGGUGUUCCACUGUCCAGCCCAGCAUGAGUAGCAGGUAGAGCACAGCUUUACUGGCUGUUUGUAUGCUUUGAUUUAGUGCAAUGUGUGGUAGAUUACUUAUCAGAAAACAUAUAUGUCAUCUCUAGAACAAAGAAAAAGCAUAGUAGUUCAAUUCCCAGUGUGUCCCUUUGAUUUUUUUUAAUAGUAAAAAUAAGAAUCUGUACUGACUUUUCACUUGGCCAUUCUGGUUUUAAAGGACAAGCUACAAGCUCUGUGUUUUUCUGUACUGAUGUGUCACUUAUUAAAUACUUUUGUACCAUGAGUAAAAUUUUAGGUGUUUUGCAAGAA